UCUGUAACAUUUACAGUGCUAUGUUAAAAAUUCCAACAGUACUUGUUCAAUGUUUCUUGAAGGAAUGAAACUUAACUUAUCACUGAUGCAUUUAAAGAAUUAGCAUGAAUCUUUUCAUACUCCACAUUGGAAUAAUCCACAUUUAAAACUUUCUCCAAGGACUGUCUCGUUUGAAAUCUGGUUUAAACUGUAUGAAUACAGUUGUAAGUAGUCAUAGCAACAAAACCAAGGGGAUAAAAAAUAAAAGCUGCAAAAGGAAAAUACUACUGCAGUUGUUGAGAGAUAUCUUGAUCUCUUAUUUAAGCUUGUUGCAUCCUGUAAUAUACAAUAAAGUACAUAAAUAAGGAAGCCUAUAAAUGGAAAUAUCACGCAUUUUUACAUUUGAAUACAGUGGAUACAGGACAUGGUGAUCAAUGCUUCAUAUUACUGAUGGCUCUAAUUUAGAAUUUAGAGGAUGUGUCACAAAAAAAUGUUUUUAUAGUGAUAAAAAAUGAAUCAGAAUUUGUACAGUAUAAGUAAAUAUGUAUAAUAAUUUGCUCUCCAAGUUGGGUAGGGCAUCUCUGUCAUGGUGGCCUAAUUUAUCUUGAGUUAGCAUUACACUGAUGUCACAUUAAAAACCUUUUUACUUGAAACCAGAACCAAACGCAGCAGCAUUUUAUAACAACUUCUCCAUGUUCCUGUUUUUGUAAACGGAUGCUGACAGACAAGAUGCCACCAAUCUUUUCCUGCAAGUGUUUCAGCCUUCUGGAUCCAAUCCUCACCUCUGAGCACUCCCCACUAAUUUCAAUCCGCAUCACAUAACACCACGGCGUUUCCUCUUGAGACGAAGUUGCACUUACUGGUGGACAGCAGGGAUAUUAUUAUAUCUUCCAUUAGCCUAUGAAGCAGUAAUAAGAGCAACAAGGAGGAAAUGGUUUUGCAGUGUAAGACAGCAGCCAGUGCCCCGCCCAGCGAGGAGGCCAACUCUGGGACUGAGGAGGGAGCUGCGUCCCAGUGAUCCACUCCAGUCAAACUCGCAGAGGCUGCAGACAGCACCAGAAUGCAGGAGGAACCAUGUAUCAUAUUUCCCAAACGACAGUAUAUACGAAACUUGGGAGCCGAAAGUGGACAGGAAAUCCGUGGCCAUGUUUGAAAGCCACGUUGGAAGAGGCCUGGUGCAGUCACUUUGCAAGGAUGACAUUCUGAGGGACAGGGAGUACAUCUGGAACAUGUAGAAGAACAAACUGUCCGUAACCUUGACUCCAUUUGACAAUGUCUGCUCAUCUCAGUCCUUCAGCACCGACAAUUUCAAUUACUAGAAUACAACCUUUUAUACAUCUUAUGUCUAUAUUUUCAUUUUUUCAACAAUAGGUUGACUCACAGUGUAUUAAAAAAUAAUUAUAUAUAGUUUUGUUUUGUCAGUUGACAUUCCUGUUUGAAAAUGAAUGUGUCGAUUGUAAUCAUUUUCUUCUCUCUGCCCAGAUAAGAGAAACAAUGAAUAUGCAAUAUCAACCGGUGCAUCAGCUAAAUAAAUGAGUAAAAAUGAAUGCAGGCUUUUUUUUUUUUUUUUAUGUCAGGUAAUAUCUAAACGAGGCACUCUUCAAUGUUUAAUCAGUACAAUGGCAAUUUUUUUGAAUGUUUUUAGAAAGAUAGCUUUACAGUCUAAUUACCAUGGCCUGUCGGCAGAUCUAAUGAACUUCAGUACA